rnacentral:lncRNA from 1 species
CCAGAUCUUUAACCUGCUGUGCCUCCGCAGCAACAUGAGCCACCACAGUUGGAUUCUUAACCCCCUGCGCCAUGGUGGGAACUGCCCCCUCCUGCUUUGUAAUUGCUGUAGAGCAUCUCUGGCAGGGAUGGCUGACCAUUCAUUGGCCAAAACCUUCCUGAUAGACAUUUGGCCUCUUUUCAACUUUGUUUUUGUUUGUCUGUUUCGGCUGCGCCUGCAGAAUACAAAAGUUCUGGGGCCAGGGAUUGAACCCACGCCACAGCAGCAACCCGAGCCACAGCAGUGACAAUACUGCAUCCUUAACCUACUGCUCCAUAAGGGAACUCCCCUGUUUUCAUCUUUGAUGCAACACACCCCAUCACCAAGGAACAUGCCUUCUUGUGUCCACGAGUGAGAGGCACCCCAGGGCCUUGCUAAUGCUUCAGCAGGCUCCCCUGGAAGCUUGCUAGUCUCAUCCCAGAGGCAUACAAGUAUACAAUCAGAGCCAGUAUUUUCACCAGACCCCAUGCAUUCCCAUUCAAACUUGAGAAGCACAGCUCCACUCUAAGUAGCUACCCCAAAGCAGUCAGCUGGCUCAAGGGCUGCAUAUCCUCUAUAUUUCAGCAGAAACCGAAAAAAGUGCCCUCCAACAGACCUUCCUGGCACCUGUCUGCAAUUCCCUGUAUGUUACAGUUUUUGCUGAAUUGAUGAUUCUUUCCAUUUUCCAGAUGUGGAACCUGAGGCUUGACAACCAGAUCCCAGGGCUGACGAUUUCUAAAGCCUCUCCUGGGUCUGGCUUUCAGGGUUUGGCCACAUCCUGGGCACGUUCCAUGCUGGCUUCCUGCCUAGGCCCCCUGGCUCUCAGAAAGCAGUUCAGAGUUGAGGGGUGGGGGGUGGGGGGGCAGAAGGGCUACAGCUCACCCAGCAAAGGGAGGUGUCCCGCAAGAGAAAAGAGGCUCUGAAGAAAGGGGGGUGGGAGCUUCUGCGAACAGCACCAGAGAGACUGCUCUGUGCCCAUUCAUGUCCAGUCAUCCAGGACAAAGGACCAGCUGGAGCACAGGGCCAAGGUGCCCUUUAAUGCACGGAAGGGAACGCCAGGGCUCCAGGAUAAGGACAAGGGGGGAGAGGGCUCUGGAGCCCAGGAGUUGGUAAGGACUAAACUUUGCUCUCACUAGCUGCACAUCUUUUUUGUGUUUUUGUUUUGUUUUGUUUUUUUGCUUUUUAGGGCCACACCUGCAGCAUAUGGAAGUUCCCAGGCUAGGGGUAGAAUCAGAGCUACAGCUGCUGGUCUAUGCCACAGCCACAGCCACUCCAGAUACAAGCCCUAUCUGCAACCCUAGCUGCCACCCACUGCAGAGAGCUGCUGUGAAGACUCCUUGCAGAUGGGUCAACCAAUGGCAGCCACCAUCUGGAGCACCACCCGGAGCCCUGCCUUAGGCUGGUGCUGCUCUGCAGUGCUCAACUUAUUGCCGCCUCAUGACAAUCAACUGCGCUCAUUCUCCCCACUUGACAGAGGAGGAAACUGAGGUUCAGAAAGGUAUGUGCCCUCCCUUCAACAUACACUGAGCUAUGGCCUUGGACCUACCUUGCAGGGUCAGAUUCCUCAUCAGAAUCCUGCCUCUGGAAUGCUGUGUGCCCCUGGGCAAGCUGCUUUGCCUCUCUGACCCUCAGCUUUCAAAGCAGUGAAAUGCGACCACAGGCAGAGACCAGAGAUAGGAAGCUGCCCUGCAAACGAGAGAACAUACUGAACAUUCCCUCCUCCAAGCUCCAUGCUGUCAUGCCCGCAAAGACCCAGCCUAGGAAGACCUGUCACCUGUGGGCAACCCUGAGCUUUCCUGUACUCUAGGUCUGACACGGGUGAGAAGUCAGGCAAACCUGGUGUGGCCCCCAGGGAGGAAAAACCACUUACUUAAGGUCACAUGGCUGGCAAGCAGUGGAGAGCAGGGCCAGGCAGCAAGAAGUGGGGUGUCUAACCUGAGCAGGGCACAGGCAGCAGUCAGAGUGGCUUUGAGGGCCAGGGUGGGGCUGGCAGGUGCCAGAGCGGCGGCCACCAGGAGCAGGCAGAUCUGUGAUGCCCAGGUCACUCCUACUGGCCCUCAGCGGCAGGGCCUCUUUGAAGGAUCCCUCAGUCCCAGGAUCCUGCCACCUGCCUGCGCAUUGGCAGUGGACACCACCUCUCUGGGACAUCAGAGCUUCUCUCUGCGGCCAGAGCUCAGGCCUUCCAGGCUCUGCCUCUCUCUAUGGCUAGUCUUGUCCCAUCCUUUGGAAACUUCUCUCAUCCCUGUGGCCAGAGGGUGCAGCGACCACAGAAACCUGACCACGUCACGCGCCGUCUAAGCCCUUCUGUGAGCCCUUGACCUCAGAGUGAUACUCCAGCUCCUCCCCACGGCUUAUGAGGACAACAUCCAGGAGGAGUUCAAGGUGAGGCACACAUGGAAUUCAACUUUUCAGGAGCCACGUUAAAAAGUUAAUAAGAAAAAGGUGACAUUAAACUUUUUUAUGGCCCCACCCAGGGCAUAUGGAAGUUCCCAGACUAGGGGUCAAACUGGAGCUACAGCUGCCAGCCUACACCACAGCCACAGCAACGCAGGCUCGGAACUGCAUCUGCAACCAUGGAAAUGCCGGAUCCUUAACCCACUAAGCAAGGCCAGGGAUCGAAUCCAUAUCCUCAAGGACACCAUGUCAGAUAUUAACCAGCUGAGCUACAAUAGGAACUCAGACAUUAAACUUAAUAAUAGAUUUUAUUUCACCCAAUACAUCCUAAAUAUUAUUAACUAACAUAAAAAUGAUAUUGAUUGAUUGAUUUGUUUUUUUUAAGCGCUCCAGGAACAGCAUGUGGAAGUUCCCAGGCUAGUGGCCGAAUCAGAGCUGCAGCUACUGGCCUAAACCACAGCCACAGCAAUGCAGGAUCUGUGGCAUGUCUACAACGUGCAUCACAACUAUGCCAGAUCCGUAACCCACUGAGGCCAGGGAUUGAACCUGCAUCCUCAUGGAUACUAGAGGAUUUGUUACCACUGUGCCACACGGGAAUUCCCAUAAAAAUGAUUAGUGAGACAUUUUACUUUCUUUUUUUCCCUGAGUACUAAUUCCGUGAAAUCGGGCUACCAUCAGUGCACCACAAUUUGGAUGAUAAAAUUUUUGGUGGAAAUACGUGGUCUGUAGUUAGAGUUCAUAAAAUGUACAGCUGAAAAAUUACAGUCACAUCCCCAAAUAGUUCUAUCUGCCUUUAAAAGUUUUCCAAGAACAAAAUGGAGUAUUUUGUUCGGACAUCUAAAUUUAAAUUAAUAUAAACAAUUCAGUUCUUCCUCUAUGCUAGCCACAUUCAAGGGCUGAUGGCUCCCCGAGUAGACACACAGGUUAACUCCUUAAUUGUCUGGUCCCCGGAGCCCUCUCAUGCCUCCUUUCCAGUCCUGUCCUAGACACAGGUGAAGUUUCUAAGCUCGCC